AGAGUUUGAUCAUGGCUCAGGAUGAACGCUGGCGGUAUGCCUAACACAUGCAAGUCAUACGAGAGUUUUUAACUCAAGUGGCGGACGGGUGAGUAACACGUGAGAAUUCACCUUUAGGAGGGGGACAACAACUGGAAACGGUUGCUAAUACCCCAUAUGCUUUCGAGUGAAAUGAAUUUAUUCGCCUGAAGAGAAGCUCGCGGCUGAUUAACUUGUUGGUAGGGUAAGAGCCUACCAAGGCGACGAUCAGUAUCUGGUUUGAGAGGACGAUCAGACACACUGGAACUGAGACACGGUCCAGACUCCUACGGGAGGCAGCAGUGGGGAAUUUUCCGCAAUGGGCGAAAGCCUGACGGAACAAUACCGCGUGAGGGAAGACGGCCUAUGGGUUGUAAACCUCUUUUUUCAGGGAGGAAUUCAAUGACGUGUACCUGAAGAAUAAGCAUCGGCUAACUCCGUGCCAGCAGCCGCGGUAAGACGGAGGAUGCAAGUGUUAUCCGGAAUCACUGGGCGUAAAGCGUCUGUAGGUUGUUAAACAAGUCAACUGUUAAAUCUUGAGGCUCAACUUCAAAAUCGCAGUCGAAACUGUUUGACUAGAGUAUAGUAGGGGUAAAGGGAAUUUCCAGUGGAGCGGUGAAAUGCGUAGAUAUUGGAAAGAACACCAAUGGCGAAGGCACUUUACUGGGCUAUUGCUGACACUCAGAGACGAAAGCUAGGGUAGCAAAUGGGAUUAGAUACCCCAGUAGUCCUAGCCGUAAACAAUGGAUACUAGAUGUUGAACAGAUCGACCUGUGCAGUAUCAAAGCUAACGCGUUAAGUAUCCCGCCUGGGAAGUAUGCUCGCAAGAGUGAAACUCAA
rnacentral:rRNA from 1 species